UUACGGCCAUAUCACAUUGAAAUACCGGUUCUCAUACGACCGCCGAAUUUAAGCAACAUCGUGCCUGGUCAGCACCUAGAUGGGUAAUCACUUAAGAAUGCCAGAUGAUGUAA